AGUGAACGCUGGCGGUAGGCCUAACACAUGCAAGUCGAACGGCAGCACAGUAAGAGCUUGCCCUUACGGGUGGCGAGUGGCGGACGGGUGAGGAAUACAUCGGAUUCUACUUUUUCGUGGGGGAUAACGUAGGGAAACUUACGCUAAUACCGCAUACGACCUACGGGUGAAAGCAGGGGUUCUUCGCACCUUGCGCGAUUGAUUGAGCCGAUGUCGGAUUAGCUAGUUGGCGGGGUAAAGGCCCACCAAGGCGACGAUCCGUAGCUGGUCUGAGAGGAUGAUCGGCCACACUGGAACUGAGACACGGUCCAGACUCCUACGGGAGGCAGCAGUGGGGAAUAUUGGACAAAGGGCGCAAGCCUGAUCCAGCCAUACCGCGUGGGUGAAGAAGGCCUUCGGGUUGUAAAGCCCUUUUGUUGGGAAAGAAAAGCAGCAGGUUAAUACCCCGCUGUUCUGACGGUACCCAAAGAAUAAGCACCGGCUAACUUCGUG
rnacentral:rRNA from 1 species